AAGAUCUUUAAUAAUCUUCACUGUUAUGUCCUCCUUCACACCCCAAUGGGUAGUUGCAGAAUCGUUUAAGGAGAAAAAGUAGAGAGAAAAGGAAAAGAAGAAGAAGCCUUCAUCCUUUUAAUUAUUUAUUUAUUUUUUCUGUGAGGAGAAACAAUGAAAGGCAAAGUGAAGAGUUUCAAACUGAAAUUGGGGAUACCUGCAUUUUUCUUCAUUUGCUCCCUUUUUGUCUUUGCUGGCUUUUUUGAUUUGGAGGAUGUGAGAUCAAAAUCAAGAAUACUCCAAGAAUUUGAGAAGAAAGUAUAUGAACCUGUUGAGCAUGGUGAAUCCGGGGAAUCCUUUUUUGAUUCAAUCCCAUUUCAGAUUUUAAGUUGGAGACCGCGGGCGGUUUAUUUUCCAAACUUUACUAGUGUGGAAGCAUGUCAGCAAAUAAUUGAAAUGGCAAAAGCAAAACUUGAACCAUCAAAACUGGCUUUGCGGAAAGGAGAAACUGCUGAGAGCACAAAAGACACUAGAACAAGUUCAGGCACAUUUAUCAGUGCAUCAGGAGACAAAUCUGGCAUUUUAGACAUGUUAGAGAGGAAAAUUGCUAGAGUUACAAUGAUUCCAAGGAGCCAUGGGGAAAAAUUCAAUAUAUUGAAGUACGAGGUUGGCCAGAAAUAUGAUUCUCAUUACGAUGCGUUCAACCCAGAUGAAUACGGCAUUGUUAAGAGCCAAAGGAUGGCUUCCUUUCUGUUAUACCUAUCAAAUGUUGAAGCAGGAGGAGAAACAAUGUUCCCUUAUGAGGGUGGUUUGCAUAUUGAUACGGAUUAUGAUUAUCGAAAAUGCAUUGGUUUGAAGGUUAAGCCACGACAGGGCGAUGGACUUUUAUUUUAUUCACUGUUACCAAAUGGGAAAAUUGAUAAGACUUCUCUUCAUGGAAGUUGUCCAGUGAUUAAGGGAGAGAAAUGGGUGGCAACAAAGUGGAUUGAUGAUGAAGAGCAAUAGUACUACAGCAAAAAUGAUUUUAAACAACAAUGAAAUACUAUGAUCUAAAGAGUAAAAACCGUUGCGUAAAUUUGUCUUUGUCAUGACAUGUUUCUUUCUGUAAUACUACGUUGGUUUGAGCGUAUUCUACUGUAGACAGAUAUUUGAGAAAAUGAAAAAGCUAGAUUUUUU